AAGUCGUAACAAGGUUUCCGUAGGUGAACCUGCGGAAGGAUCAUUAGAAAUCACCGGCUUAGCCGGUAUAAAAUUCUAUCCACCCUUGUGUGCAAACAAUGGAAGAAAAGAGAGCCAUUUGGAUACUUUUGUAUCCAAUCUCUCUAAAAUUUUUAUAAACUCCAUCAAAUUUUGAAUAAAACUAAUUUUUUUUUUAAAUAAAAAUAUUAUACAACUUUCAACAACGGAUCUCUUGGCUCUC
rnacentral:misc_RNA from 1 species